rnacentral:misc_RNA from 1 species
UCCGAUUUGGCACCGGCGGUCUCCCAUGAGUCCCCGGCAUUACCCGCUGGCAACAUGGGACAGGGGUUGCGCUCGUUGCGCCACUUAAGGCAACACCUCACGGCACGAGCUGACGACAGCCAUGCAGCACCUGUGCGGGCCCCCGAAGGGGCACCGUGUUUCCACGGCGUCACCCCGCAUGUCAAGCCCUGGUAAGGUUCUUCGCGUUGCGUCGAAUUGAGCCACAUGCUCCGCCGCUUGUGCGGGUCCCCGUCAAUUCCUUUGAGUUUUAGCCUUGCGGCCGUACUCCCCAGGCGGGGCGCUUAAUGCGUUAGCUUCGGCACAGAAGGGGUCGAUACCCCCCACACCUAGCGCCCAUCGUUUACGGCUGGGACUAC